UGUUGUUUUGGGGUUUUCAGAUGCUCAAUUCUCAAGUUACGACGGCGCAACACAAGGCGCGAAAGAAGGCUUAUGAUAUUAUAGCAUCGUUGUUGAAGAUUCCGUUCUUGGAUGAGGAGGUCACGAACAGCAGCUCUUUCCAGCGGAAGUUCUACAAGCUUUUUCGAAAAAAUUGUUGGACCUUGUUCUUCAUCGCCCGAGUUAAGCUGCUUUCUCGCUUCCACCUAAUUUUUAAAAUGAUAUGGCAGAUUUAGAGGAUAAAGGCAAGGGGCUUUGCUCAACGCUUGAGGCUACACUUGGGCUUGUGAGGUGGUGGUGAAAUGUGGGCGAAGUGGUGCGGCGGUUAGUCGGCGCAUGGUAGAUUGGCAAUGUCGAUCGUGGUAACCAUGCUGUGCCGUUGGAAAAAUCAAAUAUUGUGGACAAAAACUACAGUUGUGCCCUUUUUUGUUGGCUCUUUUAGUUUUUUUUUUCUUUUUAAACUUUAUCAUAUUGUGUUUAUGGACUCAAA